rnacentral:rRNA from 1 species
GACGAACGCUGGCGGCGUGCUUAACACAUGCAAGUCGAACGGUAAGGCCCUUCGGGGUACACGAGUGGCGAACGGGUGAGUAACACGUGGGUGAUCUGCCCUGCACUUCGGGAUAAGCCUGGGAAACUGGGUCUAAUACCGGAUAGGACCACUGCCUGCAUGGGUGGUGGUGGAAAGCUUUUGCGGUGUGGGAUGGGCCUGCGGCCUAUCAGCUUGUUGGUGGGGUGAUGGCCUACCAAGGCGACGACGGGUAGCCGGCCUGAGAGGGUGACCGGCCACACUGGGACUGGGAUACGGCCCAGACUCCUACGGGAGGCAGCAGUGGGGAAUAUUGCACAAUGGGCGCAAGCCUGAUGCAGCGACGCCGCGUGAGGGAUGGCGGCCUUCGGGUUGUAAACCUCUUUCAGCACCGACGAAGCGCAAGUGACGGUAGGUGCAGAAGAAGGACCGGCCAACUACGUGCCAGCAGCCGCCGUAA